rnacentral:rRNA from 1 species
GAUAAACGCUGGCGGCGUGCCUAACACAUGCAAGUCGAACGAAGAGGCCCCUUCGGGGGUACUUCAGUGGCGGACGGGUGAGUAACACGUAGGUGACCUGCCCCGAAGUGAGGAAUAACAAUUCGAAAGGAUUGCUAAUGCCCCAUGUGACCGGUGAGAUUAGACGCUCAUCGAUUAAAGCAGCAAUGCGCUUCGGGAGGGGCCUGCGCCCCAUCAGCUAGUUGGUAGGGUAAUGGCCUACCAAGGCUACAACGGGUAGGGGGCCUGAGAGGGUGACCCCCCACAUUGGCACUGACACACGGGCCAAACUCCUACGGGUGGCAG